AAAUGCUUAUAACAUACGUCCACCUCCUCAUAUACUCCAUCUAUCAUCUGUCAAUAAACUCACGAACUCGCCGAUUAAUCACUGCAUGCAUCGCUGUCACCAGCCGCUAUGCGCGAAUUUCCAUAACCUCCUACAGACACUGCUCAUUGUACCCUUACCCCUGGGCAUAAAUCGACAGCACAUCUGCCCCUAUUUGAAGCAACCUCAAUGGCGGAAAUCCUCGCAAGGAACACAGUCAAAGGGAAACUGAAUGUUCUGCAAGCUAUACACACCAAAAAGAAAGUCAAUGGUCACCUCCGUGAAAAUAGGUCAUAUGAGUAAUCUCUAAGCUCAUCCCUACCAUAGACUGUUUGCAAGUUUACCAGGCAUUGUAUGGAGGAGUAUAGGCCCUUUAUAGAAAAAACUGCUUGUAGUCCAUGGUGCCAUAGUCAGCAAAACAGGUAGGCUCAAAUGUGGUAAUACGAGCUCUUCUGCAUCUAAAUUAGUAUUAGCUGACACACAUUUUCAAAUUCAAUCUCUCCAACACGCUUUCUCACAUAUAAAAAGAUGGCACUUAGCAUCUGCGAAGUUUGGGAACCAUAAAGAUAUGUGAGCUUCAUGCUUAAGUUGAAUCUUGAAAUGCCUUACUUGGCGUCAUUGGCAUUGUUGUGGCAUCAUAACACAUUGCGAAUUUUUCUGAUAUUGUGCAGCAGUAAGGCUAACUGCUCAUUAAAAAAUUUAUCAGGAGCGUUGCACAUAUUUCUCCAGACUUCUGACUCCUCACAUGUGGCAGUAACAUGAUUGCAGGAACAGAGGGAGCCAAUGUAUUAUGAAAUAAUGACCCACCCACCUAUUGGGUGCUGAAACCAAAGCUGUUUUACAGAAACAAGCACUAUUAUACUAAAUUACUUGGGAUGCUCCGAUGCUUGCUAGUAUUCUCACAUUUGAAGAGUGAGUAUUCGUUUAAUGACAAACACAGGUAACGUGCCGAGUCCCAACUUCUUUGUUUCUCUUCUGGUCAUUACAACUUUUAUGUUCAGAACAGAAAAAAGAGGGCACAUUCCUGUUUGCCCAUCCAUUAGCUUUGUCAUCGCUCUUUUCAAAUGAGCUUGGCAGCUUUGGUAACCAAGCAUAGCAUUGCUCCCUCUGCGAACAAUUUUGUUGAAACAAAAUUGAAUGAAUUUGAGAAUGAUCGAAAGAGUUGAGUACCUACACUUUGUGUAACAGUCACUAACUUCAUGUCAUUUUGUUUUGCAUGCUUCAUGCAUUGAAGGGUUUUGGCAAAACACGUUGGCUUAAAAUUUCUCGCAUAGUGCCUGCCGUGGGAUGCACUCAUCUGCAGUAGCUAUUCUAUAUUAGCAGACGGUAUUUGUGUAUGAGUCAGUAGUAAAGAAGCCAGUAGUACCUAAAAUGUCUAUAUUAAGGAGGCACUUCAUGCUUAACAAGAAUGUAAUACUGGGUGUACUGGAACAGAUUCAUCAUGUACAGCGCACAGAAGACGGGGAUGAGGAAAAGUAGAGCAAACGCAAGUGCUGUCUUUCCAGUACAGGUUUAUUUGAAGUGUAAUGAUUAAAGAGGCCCAAUUGAACAUGGAAAACUAGAAAUCCUAAUAAAGGUGUCUGGAGAAUGCACUAGGAGGCACACUGAUCAGUGCAGUUGUGAAAUUGCUGAAGUUUUCCAUGUUGUAAUACUUUAUGUUAAGUAGGCAGUGGGAGGCAUGGCUUGCAUACGAGGGAAAGGAGAACCAAGUGGCUCUCCUGGACCAAGCCCAGCGAGCCGCUCGCGCCAGUGGAACCCUGGACUAAGGGCCCAACCACGCUCGCCUACUUUUCUUUUUGAAAUAAAGUUUCUUUCCUUCCUUCCUUGA